rnacentral:rRNA from 1 species
GAUGAACGCUGGCGGCGUGCCUAAUACAUGCAAGUCGAGCGAACAGACGAGGAGCUUGCUCCUCUGCCGUUAGCGGCGGACGGGUGAGUAACACGUGGAUAACCUCCCUAUAAGACUGGAAUAACUUCGGGAAACCGGAGCUAAUACCGGAUAAUAUAUUGAACCGCAUGGUUCAAUAGUGAAAGACGGUUUUGCUGUCACUUAUAGAUGGAUCCGCGCCGCAUUAGCUAGUUGGUAAGGUAACGGCCUACCAAGGCAACGAUGCGUAGCCGACCUGAGAGGGUGAUCGGCCACACUGGAACUGAGACACGGUCCAGACUCCUACGGGAGGCAGCAGUAGGGAAUCUUCCGCAAUGGGCGAAAGCCUGACGGAGCAACGCCGCGUGAGUGAUGAAGGUCUUCGGAUCGUAAAACUCUGUUAUUAGGGAAGAACAAAUGUGUAAGUAACUAUGCACGUCUUGACGGUACCUAAUCAGAAAGCCACGGCUAACUACGUG